CCUACGGGAGGCAGCAGUAGGGAAUAUUGCUCAAUGGGGGAAACCCUGAAGCAGCAACGCCGCGUGGAGGAUGAAGGUUUUCGGAUUGUAAACUCCUUUUGUUAGAGAAGAUAAUGACGGUAUCUAACGAAUAAGCACCGGCUAACACCGUGCAAGCAGCCGCGGUAAUACGGAGGGUGCAAGCGUUACUCGGAAUCACUGGGCGUAAAGAGCGCGUAGGCGGGAUAGCAAGUCAGCUGUGAAAUCCUAUGGCUUAACCAUAGAACUGCAUUUGAAACUGUUAUUCUAGAGUAUGGGAGAGGUAGGUGGAAUUCUUGGUGUAGGGGUGAAAUGCGUAGAGAUCAAGAAGAAUACUGAUUGCGAAGGCGGCCUGCUAGAACAUAACUGACGCUGAUGCGCGAAAGCGUGGGGAGCAAACAGGAUUAGAUACCCGAGUAGUC
rnacentral:rRNA from 1 species